rnacentral:tRNA from 1 species
CAGGAGAUAGUUUAUUAAAAAUUAUAGCUUUGGGAGUUGUAGAAGCAAGUUUGAGUCUUGUUCUUCUGA